rnacentral:rRNA from 1 species
ACUAACGCUGGCGGCGUGCCUAACACAUGCAAGUCGAACGAUUCUUUGAUUAUAGCAAUAUUAUUAAAGAGGAGUGGCGAACGGGUGAGUAACACGUAGAUAAUCUGCCUUUCAGACGGGGACAACUCAGGGAAACUUGUGCUAAUACCCGAUGAGACCACAAGAAGGGAUUUUUGUGGCCAAAGGCGGGCAGCAAUGCUCGUGCUGAAAGAUGGGUCUGCGUCCUAUCAGCUAGUUGGUGGAGUAAAUGCCUACCAAGGCUAAGACGGGUAGCCGGCCUGAGAGGGUGAACGGCCACACUGGGACUGAGACACGGCCCAGACUCCUACGGGAGGCAGCAGUGAGGAAUUUUCCGCAAUGGGCGCAAGCCUGACGGAGCGACGCCGCGUGAGGGAUGACAAGCUUUCGGGUUGUAAACCUCUUUUAUUAAGGAAAAAGAUCUAUAUGCUAAUAUCAUGUAGAUUUGAUGGUACUUAUUGAAUAAGCCCCGGCUAACUACGUGCCAGCAGCUGC